CUCUGGUUCCCUCGCGACGAUAAACUGUGAACUCCGCCAGGUCCGGAAGGAAGCAACGGUAACGGUGACCUCGGGUGCCGGGGUGUGGCUGGGGUGG
rnacentral:SRP_RNA from 1 species